rnacentral:rRNA from 1 species
GGAAUUUUGGACAAUGGGCGCAAGCCUGAUCCAGCAAUGCCGCGUGAGUGAAGAAGGCCUUCGGGUUGUAAAGCUCUUUUGUCAGGGAAGAAACGGUGGACUCUAAUACAGAUCACUAAUGACGGUACCUGAAGAAUAAGCACCGGCUAACUACGUGCCAGCAGCCGCGGUAAUACGUAGGGUGCAAGCGUUAAUCGGAAUUACUGGGCGUAAAGCGUGCGCAGGCGGUUUGGUAAGACAGAUGUGAAAUCCCCGGGCUCAACCUGGGAAUUGCAUUUGUGACUGCCCGGCUAGAGUGUGUCAGAGGGGGGUAGAAUUCCACGUGUAGCAGUGAAAUGCGUAGAGAUGUGGAGGAAUACCGAUGGCGAAGGCAGCCCCCUGGGAUAACACUGACGCUCAUGCACGAAAGCGUGGGGAGCAAACAGGAUUAGAUACCCCUG